GAUGAACGCUGGCGGCGUGCCUAAUACAUGCAAGUCGAGCGAACAGACGAGGAGCUUGCUCCUCUGACGUUAGCGGCGGACGGGUGAGUAACACGUGGAUAACCUACCUAUAAGACUGGGAUAACUUCGGGAAACCGGAGCUAAUACCGGAUAAUAUAUUGAACCGCAUGGUUCAAUAGUGAAAGACGGUUUUGCUGUCACUUAUAGAUGGAUCCGCGCCGCAUUAGCUAGUUGGUAAGGUAACGGCUUACCAAGGCAACGAUGCGUAGCCGACCUGAGAGGGUGAUCGGCCCCACUGGAACUGAGACACGGUCCAGACUCCUACGGGAGGCAGCAUUAGGGAAUCUUCCGCAAUGGGCGAAAGCCUGACGGAGCAACGCCGCGUGAGUGAUGAAGGUCUUCGGAUCGUAAAACUCUGUUAUUAGGGAAGAACAAAUGUGUAAGUAACUAUGCACGUCUUGACGGUACCUAAUCAGAAAGCCACGGCUAACUACGUG
rnacentral:rRNA from 1 species